GGGUUGUGAGGUUAAGCGACUAAGCGUACACGGUGGAUGCCCUGGCAGUCAGAGGCGAUGAAGGGCGUGCUAAUCUGCGAUAAGCGCCGGUAAGGUGAUAUGAACCGUUAUAACCGGCGAUACCCGAAUGGGGAAACCCAGUGUGAUUCGUCACACUAUCAUUAACUGAAUCCAUAGGUUAAUGAGGCGAACCGGGGGAACUGAAACAUCUAAGUACCCCGAGGAAAAGAAAUCAACCGAGAUUCCCCCAGUAGCGGCGAGCGAACGGGGAGGAGCCCAGAGCCUGAAUCAGCAUGUGUGUUAGUGGAAGCGUCUGGAAAGGCGCGCGAUACAGGGUGACAGCCCCGUACACAAAAGCGCAUGUGCUGUGAGCUCGAUGAGUAGGGCGGGACACGUGGUAUCCUGUCUGAAUAUGGGGGGACCAUCCUCCAAGGCUAAAUACUCCUGACUGACCGAUAGUGAACCAGUACCGUGAGGGAAAGGCGAAAAGAACCCCGGCGAGGGGAGUGAAAAAGAACCUGAAACCGUGUACGUACAAGCAGUGGGAGCNNNNNNNNNNNNNNNNNNNNNNNNNNNNNNNNNNNNNNNNNNNNNNNNNNNNNGGGCGUUAAGUUGCAGGGUAUAGACCCGAAACCCGGUGAUCUAGCCAUGGGCAGGUUGAAGGUUGGGUAACACUAACUGGAGGACCGAACCGACUAAUGUUGAAAAAUUAGCGGAUGACCUGUGGCUGGGGGUGAAAGGCCAAUCAAACCGGGAGAUAGCUGGUUCUCCCCGAAAGCUAUUUAGGUAGCGCCUCGUGAAUUCAUCUCCGGGGGUAGAGCACUGUUUCGGCUAGGGGGCCAUCCCGGCUUACCAACCCGAUGCAAACUGCGAAUACCGGAGAAUGUUAUCACGGGAGACACACGGCGGGUGCUAACGUCCGUCGUGAAGAGGGAAACAACCCAGACCGCCAGCUAAGGUCCCAAAGUCAUGGUUAAGUGGGAAACGAUGUGGGAAGGCCCAGACAGCCAGGAUGUUGGCUUAGAAGCAGCCAUCAUUUAAAGAAAGCGUAAUAGCUCACUGGUCGAGUCGGCCUGCGCGGAAGAUGUAACGGGGCUAAACCAUGCACCGAAGCUGCGGCAGCGACACUGUGUGUUGUUGGGUAGGGGAGCGUUCUGUAAGCCUGCGAAGGUGGCCUGUGAGGGUUGCUGGAGGUAUCAGAAGUGCGAAUGCUGACAUAAGUAACGAUAAAGCGGGUGAAAAGCCCGCUCGCCGGAAGACCAAGGGUUCCUGUCCAACGUUAAUCGGGGCAGGGUGAGUCGACCCCUAAGGCGAGGCCGAAAGGCGUAGUCGAUGGGAAACGGGUUAAUAUUCCCGUACUUGGUGUUACUGCGAAGGGGGGACGGAGAAGGCUAUGUUGGCCGGGCGACGGUUGUCCCGGUUUAAGCGUGUAGGUGUGUGUUCCAGGUAAAUCCGGUUCACUUUAACACUGAGGCGUGACGACGAGGCACUACGGUGCUGAAGCAACAAAUGCCCUGCUUCCAGGAAAAGCCUCUAAGCAUCAGGUAACAUCAAAUCGUACCCCAAACCGACACAGGUGGUCAGGUAGAGAAUACCAAGGCGCUUGAGAGAACUCGGGUGAAGGAACUAGGCAAAAUGGUGCCGUAACUUCGGGAGAAGGCACGCUGACACGUAGGUGAAGUGAUUUACUCAUGGAGCUGAAGUCAGUCGAAGAUACCAGCUGGCUGCAACUGUUUAUUAAAAACACAGCACUGUGCAAACACGAAAGUGGACGUAUACGGUGUGACGCCUGCCCGGUGCCGGAAGGUUAAUUGAUGGGGUCAGCGCAAGCGAAGCUCCUGAUCGAAGCCCCGGUAAACGGCGGCCGUAACUAUAACGGUCCUAAGGUAGCGAAAUUCCUUGUCGGGUAAGUUCCGACCUGCACGAAUGGCGUAAUGAUGGCCAGGCUGUCUCCACCCGAGACUCAGUGAAAUUGAACUCGCUGUGAAGAUGCAGUGUACCCGCGGCAAGACGGAAAGACCCCGUGAACCUUUACUAUAGCUUGACACUGAACAUUGAGCCUUGAUGUGUAGGAUAGGUGGGAGGCUUUGAAGUGUGGACGCCAGUCUGCAUGGAGCCGACCUUGAAAUACCACCCUUUAAUGUUUGAUGUUCUAACGUGGACCCGUUACCCGGGUUGCGGACAGUGUCUGGUGGGUAGUUUGACUGGGGCGGUCUCCUCCUAAAGAGUAACGGAGGAGCACGAAGGUUGGCUAAUCCUGGUCGGACAUCAGGAGGUUAGUGCAAUGGCAUAAGCCAGCUUGACUGCGAGCGUGACGGCGCGAGCAGGUGCGAAAGCAGGUCAUAGUGAUCCGGUGGUUCUGAAUGGAAGGGCCAUCGCUCAACGGAUAAAAGGUACUCCGGGGAUAACAGGCUGAUACCGCCCAAGAGUUCAUAUCGACGGCGGUGUUUGGCACCUCGAUGUCGGCUCAUCACAUCCUGGGGCUGAAGUAGGUCCCAAGGGUAUGGCUGUUCGCCAUUUAAAGUGGUACGCGAGCUGGGUUUAGAACGUCGUGAGACAGUUCGGUCCCUAUCUGCCGUGGGCGCUGGAGAACUGAGGGGGGCUGCUCCUAGUACGAGAGGACCGGAGUGGACGCAUCACUGGUGUUCGGGUUGUCAUGCCAAUGGCACUGCCCGGUAGCUAAAUGCGGAAGAGAUAAGUGCUGAAAGCAUCUAAGCACGAAACUUGCCCCGAGAUGAGUUCUCCCUGAGACUUAGAGUCUCCUGAAGGAACGUUGAAGACGACGACGUUGAUAGGCCGGGUGUGUAAGCGCAGCGAUGCGUUGAGCUAACCGGUACUAAUGAACCGUGAGGCUUAACCUUACAACGCCGAAG
rnacentral:rRNA from 1 species